CGUCGGCUGAAAACAUUCCGGCGAUGUCUAGAUUACUUUACUUUCAACACCUACUGUCCUUCUCAUCGUGCUUAUAACCCUAUUAUCUCCGACUAUGAUACCAC
rnacentral:ribozyme from 1 species